UACGUAGGUGGCAAGCGUUGUCCGGAAUUAUUGGGCGUAAAGCGCGCGCAGGCGGUCCUUUAAGUCUGAUGUGAAAUCCCACGGCUCAACCGUGGAAGGUCAUUGGAAACUGGGGGGACUUGAGUACAGAAGAGGAAAGCGGAAUUCCAAGUGUAGCGGUGAAAUGCGUAGAGAUUUGGAGGAACACCAGUGGCGAAGGCGGCUUUCUGGUCUGUAACUGACGCUGAGGCGACGAAAGCGUGGGGAGCAAACAGG
rnacentral:rRNA from 1 species